AAAAACACAAUAGUCAUUCUAUAAAUACAGCAAGUAGGUGAUGAUGAGAGGCCUACAUUCCCUGGGAUGAUAUAUUAUCAUUUUCUAGCAUUCUAACUGAAACGAUUCAUUAAGUUAGAAGGUUAGUCCACCUUACGGACGAAGAGGGAAUAAUAGUGAUUAUUAUUCUAAACAAAGGUGGUACCACGAGCUUUCGUCCUUUUUGAGACGGGGCUUUUUUAUUUUA
rnacentral:misc_RNA from 1 species